rnacentral:rRNA from 1 species
UACGUAGGCAGCGAGCGUUGUUCGGAGUUACUGGGCGUAAAGGGUGUGUAGGCGGUUGUUUAAGUUUGGUGUGAAAUCUCCCGGCUCAACUGGGAGGGUGCGCCGAAUACUGAAUGACUUGGAGUGCGGGAGAGGUGAGUGGAAUUCCUGGUGUAGCGGUGAAAUGCGUAGAUAUUAGGAGGAACACCGGUGGUGUAGACGGCUCACUGGACCGUAACUGACGCUGAGACACGAAAGCGUGGGUAGCAAACAGG